UACGAAGGGGGCUAGCGUUGUUCGGAAUUACUGGGCGUAAAGCGCGCGCAGGCGGUCUUCCAAGUCAGUGGUGAAAGCCUGGAGCUCAACUCCAGAACUGCCAUUGAAACUGUUAGACUUGAGUACGAGAGAGGUGAGUGGAAUUCCCAGUGUAGAGGUGAAAUUCGUAGAUAUUGGGAAGAACACCGGUGGCGAAGGCGGCUCACUGGCCCGUUUCUGACGCUCAUGCACGACAGCGUGGGGAUCAAACAGG
rnacentral:rRNA from 1 species